ACCACACAGAAGCCUCUGAUAUCUGCUGCAGUUACUGCAUCUCACAGAUAGUGCAUCAAUGGAAUUCUACAAGUGUCUUCUACAUGUUUGCAAAAAUCAACUUUAUUUCCAGUCAUUUAUCUGAUAUUACACGUAUGCUUAAAUUGUCAGUCUGAGAUUGUUGGUAUAAUCCUGAUGUCACUAUGAAGCUGGACUAUG